rnacentral:rRNA from 1 species
UGCCGCGUGAGUGAAGAAGGCCUUCGGGUUGUAAAGCUCUUUCGGCCGGGAAGAAAUCGUGUUCUCUAACAUAGGACAUGGAUGACGGUACCGGACUAAGAAGCACCGGCUAACUACGUGCCAGCAGCCGCGGUAAUA